rnacentral:ncRNA from 1 species
UAACUUGAGAGUUUGAUCCUGGCUCAGGACGAACGCUGGCGGCAGGCCUAACACAUGCAAGUCGAACGCAUCCUUCGGGAUGAGUGGCGCACGGGUGAGUAACACGUGGGAACGUACCUUGGAGUACGGAAUAAUCCUUGGAAACGAGGACUAAUACCGUAUACGCCCUUCGGGGGAAAGAAUUUCGCUCCAAGAUCGGCCCGCGUCCGAUUAGCUAGUUGGCGGGGUAAUGGCCCACCAAGGCGACGAUCGGUAGCUGGUCUGAGAGGAUGAUCAGCCACACUGGGACUGAGACACGGCCCAGACUCCUACGGGAGGCAGCAGUGGGGAAUAUUGCGCAAUGGGGGAAACCCUGACGCAGCCAUGCCGCGUGAGUGAAGAAGGCCUUCGGGUUGUAAAGCUCUUUCGGGUGUGAAGAUGAUGACGGUAACACCAGAAGAAGCCCCGGCUAACUUCGUGCCAGCAGCCGCGGUAAUACGAAGGGGGCAAGCGUUGUUCGGAAUCACUGGGCGUAAAGAGCGCGUAGGCGGUUAGAUCAGUCAGAGGUGAAAGCCCAGGGCUCAACCCUGGAAAUGCCUUUGAUACUGUCUAGCUUGAAUCCGUGAGAGGGUGGUGGAAUUCCCAGUGUAGGGGGGAGGUGAAAUUCGUAGAUAUUGGGAGGAACACCAGUGGCGAAGGCGGCCACCUGCCAGAUCUCUAUGGGCUUGCCUGCCGCUUCAUGGGCCGCGAUCUUGUCCAGG